rnacentral:rRNA from 1 species
UACUAAGCGGAGGAAAAGAAACCAACGGGGAUUCCCAUAGUAACUGCGAGUGAAAGGGGAAGAGCCCAGCGCCGAAUCCUGCUGCUGGCAACGGUGGUAGGAACUGUGGCGUGAAGACAGUCCAUUCCAGUGCGGCUAGCUUGCGUAAGUUCUCCUGAGUGAGGCUCCAUCCCAUGGAGGGUGCAAGGCCCGUAUCGUAAGCAGCUGGUGCUGGUUUCAGCUGUCAGAGAGUCGCCUUGUUUGCGAGUACAAGGUGAAGUCGGUGGUAAACUCCAUCGAAGGCUAAAUAUGACCACGAGUCCGAUAGCGAACAAGUACCGUGAGGGAAAAUUGAAAAGCACUUUGAAGAGAGAGCGAAACAGUGCGUGAAACCGCUUAGAGGUAAGCAGAUGGGGCCUCGAAGGCAAAGCAGUGAAUUCAGCUGGUAGUCCGUGGUGCUGGCCCGUUUAUAGAUCGCAAGACUGUAGCGGGUUAUGAGGCUGCGGCUGCUAGUGCACUUUCACUGUUUGUACGCCACCGCCGUUGAGCGAGCGUCCGUCUUGCUGGUGUGUGCAGCCUUGCUUCCUCGGAAGCAGGUGUCUGACUGCCGGUGCUUAGACGCGUUCGCACCUCAACCGGUCAUGUCAGCGUGUGUCAGCGUAUUGCGUUGGGCUCGUUCACCGUGGUUGUGGCGUCGGAGAUGACAAGCUUGCUUGGCUCACUGGCUCAUGCUACGAAUGGGCGGGUUUGCAACGUAGGCACAUUGUAGAUUCGGUGGCGAGUAGACGGCUGCCCAUCUAACCC